AUGUCCUCAGCCCAAAAAAUUGAUGUCUGCAACCAAAUUACAAAAGCUGUGAACACGUAUUUGACUGAUAAACCUUUACCGAAGCCUUACAGACUGAUGCUAAUCGCACAGCAGCAAUUAACAGCAACAAAUAAUGGUGUCGAGAGCUACAACCCACCUGUUUCACCUCCGUCGGAUGAACCAAUUCCCAUCACAGUAGCUACCUCCCUACCGUCAAAUGUUACAGGGGCGUCUGCUGACGCAUGCUACAUAUCUCUCCACCGUGGGCUCAGCAAUGGAAAGAAUCCGGACGGUGAGAGCAGCCCCGACGGCGACUGCGGGAACCAUAGCCCUGGCGAAGGCGGCGGCGGCAUGGGCCCUGGCCCCAGGAUCCCUGUUCCUGGCAGCGGUGACAACAUGGGGAAGUUCGGCGUGAGCGGAGGGGGUUGCUGGAAUCCCGGCGAGAGGAGCGGGUAG
rnacentral:rRNA from 1 species